rnacentral:rRNA from 1 species
GACGAACGCUGGCGGCGUGCCUAACACAUGCAAGUCGAACGAAGUGGCGAACGGGUGAGUAACGCGUAAUCAACCUGCCCUUCAGAGGGGGUCAACAGUUGGAACCGACUGCUAAUACCGCAUACUGAAGGAGGGGAUUGCGUCUGAUUAGCUGGUGGGGGGGGUAACGGCCCACCAAGGCGACGAUCAGUAGCCAGGGUUGGAGAGAGAACGGCAACAGUUGGAAUGAGGAACGGCCCAGACCUCUACGGGAGGAAGCAGGGGGGAAUCUCCCUCAAUGGACGAAAGUCUGACGGAGCAACGCCGCGUGAGAGAUGACGGCCUUCGGGUUGUAAAGCUCUGUUAAUCGGGACGCGGUACCGGAAUAGAAAGCCACGGCUAACUACGUGCCAGCAGCCGCGGUAAUUC